rnacentral:tRNA from 1 species
AGGGCUAUAGCUCAGUGGUAGAGCGCCUCGUUUACGCCGAGAAUGUCUACGGUUCGAAUCCGUAUAGCCCUA